CUUUCCACGUUGCACAAGCCCAGCGCACGGUACCCACUGGAUAUGCCCGAGGCCUCCAGAGGAAAGGAAAGGAGGAAAAGGGACAGAAGAAAUGUUCACAGGAACUGCAUAUGGGCCUGCUACUUGUGUCAAAAUGUGACUGAACUCUCUUCCAGCAGCUUACUCUGAGGGAGGUCUGAAUGCCAUAUUGUGAGCGGCCCUGCUGAAAGACCCAUGUGGCAAGGAUCUGAGAUCAUUGGCCAACAGGCUGCAAAGAGUCCUACCAACAGCCAGGCUGGUGUUCUUGGAAGUGGAUCUUCUCCUACUCUCCUACUUGAGAUGACUGCAGCCCCAGCUAACACUUCGAUUGCAGCCUUGUUAAGAUAUCACGGGCCAGACACACCCAGCUAAGUUAUGCCUGAGUUACUAGCCCACAGAAAUGAUAAGAUAAUAAAUAUUUGCUGUUUUAAGCUGCUAA
rnacentral:lncRNA from 1 species